AUUCCAGCUCCAAUAGCGUAUAUUUAAGUUGUUGCAGUUAAAAAGCUCGUAGUUGGACCUUGGGACGUCACGGUCGGUCCGCCUUCUUGGUGUGCACUGGCCCUCACGUCCCUUCUGCCGGCGGCGUGUUCCUGGCCUUAAUUGGCUGGGUCGCGGUUCCGGCGCCGUUACUUUGAAAAAAUUAGAGUGCUCAAAGCAAGCCUACGCUCUGAAUACAUUAGCAUGGAAUAACGCGAUAGGAGUCUGGUCCUGUUCCGUUGGCCUUCGGGACCGGAGUAAUGAUUAAUAGGGACUGUUGGGGGCAUUCGUAUUUAACUGUCAGAGGUGAAAUUCUUGGAUUUGUUAAGGACGGACUACUGCGAAAGCAUCUGCCAUGGAUGUUUUCAUUA
rnacentral:rRNA from 1 species